AGUGAAGAUGCUGUGGACCGCCAAAGUGAUGAUGUGGUUGUCACCACAACACCCAAUCCCCACAACCAGACCACAUCUGCCCAUACUGAAGCUGGUGGUGGAGCAAGUGAAGAUGCUGUGGCUACUACCCCAGCACCCAAUCCAGACAACCAGACAACUUCUGCACAAGCUGAAGUUACUGAUGGAGCCAGUGAAGAUGCUGUGGACCGCCAAAGUGAUGAUGUGGUUGUAGCCACAACACCCGAUCACCACAACCAGACACAACAAUCAAUCCAGACACAACAAUCUGCCCAUACUUCAGCUGGUG
ensembl:lncRNA